AUUGAACGCUGGCGGCAUGCCUUACACAUGCAAGUCGAACGGUAACAGGUCUUCGGAUGCUGACGAGUGGCGAACGGGUGGGUAAUACAUCGGAACGUGCCCGAUCGUGGGGGAUAACGAGGCGAAAGCUUUGCUAAUACCGCAUACGAUCUACGGAUGAAAGCGGGGGAUCUUCGGACCUCGCGCGGACGGAGCGGCCGAUGGCAGAUUAGGUAGUUGGUGGGAUAAAAGCUUCCCAAGCCGACGAUCUGUAGCUGGUCUGAGAGGAUGAUCAGCCACACUGGGACUGAGACACGGCCCAGACUCCUACGGGAGGCAGCAGUGGGGAAUUUUGGACAAUGGGCGAAAGCCUGAUCCAGCCAUGCCGCGUGCAGGAUGAAGGCCUUCGGGUUGUAAACUGCUUUUGUACGGAACGAAAAGCCUCUUUCUAAUAAAGAGGGGUCAUGACGGUACCGUAAGAAUAAGCACCGGCUAACUACGUG
rnacentral:rRNA from 1 species